AAAUCAGAUUUCUACCUUGUGUCGCGCCGUGCCGCCUUCCAUUCCAGUCUCUUCCUUCUUCUUCCUCUGAUUCGCCAUUGAUACUCCUUACCCGCAUUUCUUCCUCACCUUGUUCUUCAAUCUCAUUUCUACCUCAGAUUUCUACAACUGAAAAUGGAUCUUGUUCUUGAAUCUCCUUUCGGUUAUCUUAAAAAUUUAUCUUCUAUAAUUAGUCAAAAUUGAAGAAUCUCAUUUCUACCUCAGUUUUCUACAAUUGAAAAUGGAUCUUGUUCUUCAAUCUCUUUUCGGUUAUCUUAAAUCUAUCUAGAAUCAAAGUUGAAGAGUUUAAUGUAAUUUUUUUUUUCAUUCAGGAUCAAUCAAUUUGAUUUGAGAUGAAGAGUUGUGCAGCCGGUUGAAGAUGUGAACUUUUAGCCUUUUAGAAACUUUCAGUUGAUCAUUGAAAUCAAAAUUAGACAGAAACUGUGGAACAAUGCCAUUUAAUUGAAAUCAAUUUGUACCAAACAAUGGCCAAAUAUAAUUGUAAAAAGGUAAUGCAUUAACUUUGGAGCAUCCGGAAGUCAUAAUCGAUGAAACUCUUGACACCGUUGAAGAUGAGUAAUGGAGCCUGAAGUUUGAACUUAUAAAUUUUAAUAGUUUAUGAAAUUAUGAAUUUGAGGAAUUGUGGUUGUAUUUUAAUUAACUAAUGCUUGUAUUUAAAUACUUAUGGCUAAGUUAAGUAUUUUAAUAUUAUUUGAAUUAUAUGUUUAAAAAAUUGUUAAAAGAAUUAAGAAAAAAAAAUAAACAAAACCGGGUACCCGGUUUUCGACCCGGUUUAAACCGGGUCGGAUCCGGAAUACAAUUUUAGCUAUCCGGAAAACCGGGUACCCGGUUUUUCGGAACCGGGUCGACCCGGUAUUCGGUUUUGAACACCCCUAUCUAGAACCCACCAAAACCAAAUACCAGUUUCCAAAAUUUAGGAUGGUUCUAAUUUAAAGUCAUCACCAAUUUCAAAGAUGUGUGACGGUUCCAAUAAAAAGUCAGCAAACUUUGUCCCAUCAUCUCUUAGGCUUGGGCUUUUUUGUAAACCUUCGGAUAAAGUGGAUUUUUGACUGUGGGGCUACCGACACUAUGACAUUUGACCCAUGUGACCUUUUAUCUUUCGGCCCUAAAAACCGAACCCAAUACAAACAACCAAUGGGGAGUGUAUAGAUGUUGAACAAUCAAGGCCUAUUCAAAUUUCUUCUUCCUUACACUUGAAAAAUUGUCUUUUUAUACCUAGCUUGUCGCAUAAAUUGUUGUCUAUUAGUCAAUUGACUAAGGAACUGAAUUGCACUAUUCUUAUGACCUCUUCUAAUUGUAUUGUGCAGGAUGCUCGAACAAGGAAGAUUCUUGGGCAUGGUACUGAACGAGGUGGUAUAUAUUAUGUGGACGAGGUGACUCAAAAGGGUCAGACUUUGCUUGGUCAUGGGUCCUCAAAUUAGCAUUUGUGGAUGUGGUAUAGGCAUCUUGGCCACCCUUCCUUAGGGUAUUUGAAACGUCUCAUUCCAUCACUUAAUAAUUGUAAUGAAAAUUUGCAGUGUAAAGCAUGUGCUCUAUCUAAAAGUCAAAAAAACUUUUUUCUUCCUAGUAUGACUCAUAGUAGUAAACCUUUUGUUUUGAUACAUUCUGAUGUUUGGGGACCUGCUCCUGGAUUUAAUAAUCAUAGUUUCUCUUAUUUUGUUUCA